AUUGAACGCUGGCGGCAGGCCUAACACAUGCAAGUCGAACGAGUGGCGGACGGGUGAGUAAUGUCUGUGAAACUGCCUGAUGGAGGGGGAUAACUACUGGAAACGGUAGCUAAUACCGCAUACCAUCGGAUGUGCCCAGAUGGGAUUAGCUAGUAGGUGGGGUAAAGGCUCACCUAGGCGACGAUCCCUAGCUGGUCUGAGAGGAUGACCAGCCACACUGGAACUGGGACACGGUCCAGACUCCUACGGGAGGAAGCAGAAGGGAAUAUCGCACAAUGGGCGCAAGCCUGAUGCAGCCAUGCCGCGUGUAUGAAGAAGGCCUUCGGGUUGUAAAGUACUUUCUGCGGGGAGGCGUUACCAGAAGAAGAAGCACCGGCUAACUCCGUGCCAGCAGCCGCGGUAAUAC
rnacentral:rRNA from 1 species